rnacentral:rRNA from 1 species
UGAGGAAUAUUGGUCAAUGGACGGAAGUCUGAACCAGCCAAGUAGCGUGCAGGAUGACAGCCCUAUGGGUUGUAAACUGCUUUUGUAUGGGGAUAAAGUUAGGGACGUGUCCCUAUUUGCAGGUACCAUACGAAUAAGGACCGGCUAAUUCCGUGCCAGCAGCCGCGGUAAUACGGAAGGUCCAGGCGUUAUCCGGAUUUAUUGGGUUUAAAGGGAGCGUAGGCUGGAGAUUAAGUGUGUUGUGAAAUGUAGACGCUCAACGUCUGAAUUGCAGCGCAUACUGGUUUCCUUGAGUACGCACAACGUUGGCGGAAUUCGUCGUGUAGCGGUGAAAUGCUUAGAUAUGACGAAGAACUCCGAUUGCGAAGGCAGCUGACGGGAGCGCAACUGACGCUUAAGCUCGAAGGUGCGGGUAUCAAACAGGAUUAGAUACCCUGGUAGUCCGCACAGUAAACGAUGGAUGCCCGUUGUUAGUUCACCUAAGAAUUAGCGACCAAGCGAAAGCAUUAAGCAUCCCACCUGGGGAGUACGCCGGCAACGGUG